rnacentral:pre_miRNA from 1 species
GGAUUUUCAAAAGUGCAUGUUUGGAGACUCAUUUGAAAACAAAAGUGAAGCAAAAAUCAUGGUGUACAGAAGCAACUUUCAUUAGCAUUUGCUUAUGUCCAUCAUGAUUUUGACUUCGCCGUAAUUUUUCGAAUGAGUUUCUUAACAUAUAAUAGCUAGGGAGAUCU